GAUCACAAUUAACCCCUCCUUCUCUGGCCUAACGAAGGUCAGAUAGACUCCAAUUACAGCCUCAGCUCUGUCCCUCAAAGGCAAUGUGAGCUUUGGGAAUUUAUUUAACUCCUUUGGACCUCACUUUAUAUCAAUGAAAUGGAGAUAAUAGACCCUACCUCAAAGGUUGCUAGGAAAAAACAAGCUUGAGAAUGUCAAAUGACAAGUGUAAUGUCUGACACAUGGCAGGUCCCCUGCUGUCCCUUCUUGAGAAUGAGUACUCAGCCAUCAGUAUCUCUCCUUGAGAAUAAGUACUCAACCAUCAGUACCUUUAUGUCUGUUACAGCUCUUAUCCCAGACUUCCCUCUGGUAGGGUUAUCUACGUGUGGGCUGCAUCCCUAUCUAGAAUGUGAGUCCCAUGAGGAUGAGGGCGUAUCUUUCCCACCCUCAAGCUCCCUGCAGCAUCUAGCCCAGGCCCUGUUCCUGCAGCCUGCCCUGGCCAGUCUGGAUCUCAGCUCACCUACGGUGGUGAUGGGCUGGCGGAAGGGCAUGAGCCCAAAGCUGUACUGGAAGAUACCGCGGCCAUGGAAGAGAGGGAGAGAGAUGCCCAUGAUCUUCUGUAGUCGGUUCUGGACACAGCGCAGCCAGGUGCCAUAUGUGUUCUCAACUUGGUUAAACAGGUUGUUCUCCCCAAAGGAGAAGAUUGGCACGAGGGCUGCCCUAGAGGACACAGGGGAGUAUGGGAGAAUCCAGAAAGGCACAGAUGGAAAGGCCACCCACCACGAACUGGAGCAGAUCUGCCUUGAGCCCUCUCUGACCUUCAGAGAGCCUUUUCAGGCCCCCAGUCUGUCAUGUGGCUACCAUGACAGGUAGAUCAGAAGGUUCUAGAGCCUCGUCCUCAGUGCAAAACAUUUUUACUUUUCACCUAGAAAAAUCUCCUCCUUGUGCCAGCUGGCUGCUCGGCUUCCUCAAAGAUGCCUCUCCCCACGCAGCAGCCUGUAGGCUCCAGGCCUGGCAUCCAGUGCCUCCUGGGAGCCCCCAACGAUGAUGGCUAGCAAGUUCCCACCGCCCUUCCUGUUCAGGAUGUGACCAGCACUCUCCUUUUCGGAUGUGACCAGCCCUAGGGAGAGAGCAAGCCUCUGCUGUUGCUGAACAAGCACUUGGAAGGAACAGAGAACUACUGACAGCCUGUUCCCAGAUGCCUCUGCCUACCCAGCAGCCUCAUCUUCCUGAGCUACUUGGGGCCAGGGUGAGGAGACUCACCCCCACUCAUGAUGUAAUCCCGGAAGAAGGGGGCCCGGAACCACAGGGUCAGCAUC